rnacentral:rRNA from 1 species
AGCGAAUCUUUGGGAGCUUGCUCCCAUUGGUUAGCGGCGGACGGGUGAGUAACACGUGGGCAACCUGCCUGUAAGACUGGGAUAACUUCGGGAAACCGGAGCUAAUACCGGAUAAUUCUUUUCCUCUCAUGUGGAAAAGCUGAAAGACGGUUUCGGCUGUCACUUACAGAUGGGCCCGCGGCGCAUUAGCUAGUUGGUGAGGUAACGGCUCACCAAGGCGACGAUGCGUAGCCGACCUGAGAGGGUGAUCGGCCACACUGGGACUGAGACACGGCCCAGACUCCUACGGGAGGCAGCAGUAGGGAAUCUUCCACAAUGGACGAAAGUCUGAUGGAGCAACGCCGCGUGAGCGAUGAAGGCCUUCGGGUCGUAAAGCUCUGUUGUUAGGGAAGAACAAGUACCGGAGUAACUGUCGGUACCUUGACGGUACCUAACCAGAAAGCCACGGCUAACUACGUGCCAGCAGCCGCGGUAAUACGUAGGUGGCAAGCGUUGUCCGGAAUUAUU